rnacentral:rRNA from 1 species
GAGUAACGCGUGGGUAACCUGGCCCAUACAGGGGGAUAACACUUAGAAAUAGGUGCUAAUACCGCAUAACAACAGAAAGCGCAUGCUUUUUGUUUGAAAACCAAGGUGGNAUGGGAUGGACCCGCGUCUGAUUAGCUGGUUGGCGGGGUAAAGGCCCACCAAGGCGACGAUCAGUANCCGGCCUGANAGGGUGGACGGCCACAUUGGGACUGANACACGGCCCAAACUCCUACGGGAGGCAGCAGUGGGGAAUAUUGNACAAUGGGGGAAACCCUGAUGCAGCGACGCCGCGUGAGUGAAGAAGUAAUUCGUUAUGUAAAGCUCUAUCANCAGGGAAGAAAAUGACGGNACCUGANUAAGAAGCCCCGGCUAACUACNUGCCNGCAGCCGCGGUAAUACGUANGGGGCAAGCGUUAUCCGGAUUUACUGGGUGNAAAGGGAGCGUANACGGCAGUGCAAGUCUGGAGUGAAAGGCGGGGGCUCAACCCCCGGACUGNUCUGGAAACUGNACGGCUGGAGUGCAGGAGAGGUAAGUGGAAUUCCUAGUGNAGCGGUGAAAUGCGUAGAUAUUANGAGGAACACCAGUGGCGAAGGCGGCUUACUGGACUGUAACUGACGUUGARGCUCGAAAGCGUGGGGAGCAAACAGGAUUAGAUACCCUGGUAGUCCACGCCGUAAACGAUGAUCACUAAGUGU